AGACCGAUAGCGAACAAGUAGAGUGAUCGAAAGAUGAAAAGAACUUUGAAAAGAGAGUUAAACAGUACGUGAAAUUGUUGAAAGGGAAGCGCUUGUGACCAGACUUGGGCUUGGUUGAUCAUCCGGGGUUCUCCCCGGUGCACUCUUCCGGCUCAGGCCAGCAUCAGUUCGCCCUGGGGGAUAAAGGCAGCGGGAAUGUGGCUCUCUCCGGGGAGUGUUAUAGCCCGCUGCGUAAUACCCUGUGGCGGACUGAGGUUCGCGCAUUCGCAAGGAUGCUGGCGUAAUGGUCAUCAGUGACCCGUCUUGAAACACGGACCAAG
rnacentral:rRNA from 1 species